CUUGUUGUAGGUCGGCAGAAGAGUAAGCUUUCGGGCUUGCUUGGAAGCCUUCCUAUGUUUUAUUACAAACGCUUCAGUUUAAGAAUGUUAUCUCUGCGUAUAACGCAAUUAUAUACAACUUUCAGCAACGGAUCUCUUGGCUCUCGCAUCGAUGAAGAACGCAGCGAAAUGCGAUAAGUAAUGUGAAUUGCAGAAUUCAGUGAAUCAUCGAAUCUUUGAACGCACCUUGCGCUCCCUGGUAUUCCGGGGAGCAUGCCUGUUUGAGUGUCAUGGUAUUCUCAACCUUCAUAACUUUUGUUAUUGAAGGCUUGGACUUGGAGGCUUGUGCUGGCUUUUUGCGAGUCGGCUCCUCUGAAAUGCAUUAGCGUGAGUGUAACGGAUCGCUUCGGUGUGAUAAUUAUCUGCGCCGUGGACGUGAAGUAACAUAAGCUUGCGCUUCUAACCGUCCUUCAGCUGGACAAUAUCUUUGACAUCUGACCUCAAAUCAGGUAGGACUACCCGCUGAACUUAAGCAUAUCAAUAAGCGGAGGAAAAGAAACUAACAAGGAUUCCCCUAGUAACUGCGAGUGAAGCGGGAAAAGCUCAAAUUUAAAAUCUGGUAGUCUUUGGCUGCCCGAGUUGUAAUCUGGAGAAGCGUCUUCCGCGCUGGACCGUGUGCAAGUCUCCUGGAACGGAGCGUCAUAGAGGGUGAGAAUCCCGUCUUUGACACGGACUACCAGUGCUCUGUGAUGCGCUCUCAAAGAGUCGAGUUGUUUGGGAAUGCAGCUCAAAAUGGGGUGGUAAACUCCAUCUAAAGCUAAAUAUUGGCGAGAGACCGAUAGCGAACAAGUACCGUGAGGGAAAGAUGAAAAGCACUUUGGAAAGAGAGUUAAACAGUACGUGAAAUUGCUGAAAGGGAAACGCUUGAAGUCAGUCGCGUUUGCUAGAACUCAGCCUUGCCUCGGCUUGGUGCAUUUUCUAGUAAACGGGCCAGCAUCACUUUUGGCUGCGGGAAAAAGAUCAGAGGAAUGUGGCACCUUCGGGUGUGUUAUAGCCUCUGGUUGUAUACCGUGGCUGGGAGUGAGGAACUCAGCACGCCUUUAUGGC
rnacentral:rRNA from 1 species